CAGUGUGUAGUGUGUUUGUGUAGUGUGCAUUAUAUAAACACACUACACAAACACACUAUACAAACACACU